rnacentral:rRNA from 1 species
ACGUAGGAGGCGAACGUUAUCCGGAUUUACUGGGCGUAAAGCGCGCGCAGGCGGAAUUGUAAGUAGGUAGUCAAAGGUCCAGGCUCAACUUGCAGAGGUCUAUCGAUACUGUAGAUCUAGAGUAUGUGAGAGGGAAGCGGAAUUCCAGGUGUAGCGGUGAAAUGCGCAGAUAUCGGGAGGAACACCAGUGGCGAAGGCGGCUUCCUGGCACAAUACUGACGCUCAUGUGCGAAAGCUAGGGCAGCGAACGG